rnacentral:rRNA from 1 species
AGUGAACGCUGGCGGUAGGCCUAACACAUGCAAGUCGAACGGCAGCACAGUAAGAGCUUGCUCUUACGGGUGGCGAGUGGCGGACGGGUGAGGAAUACAUCGGAAUCUACUUUUUCGUGGGGGAUCACGUAGGGAAACUUACGCUAAUACCGCAUACGACCUACGGGUGAAAGCAGGGGAUCUUCGGACCUUGCGCGGUUGAAUGAGCCGAUGUCGGAUUAGCUAGUUGGCGGGUUAAAGGCCCACCAAGGCGACGAUACGUAGCUGGUCUGAGAGGAUGAUCAGCCACACUGGAACUGAGACACGGUCCAGACUCCUACGGGAGGCAGCAGUGGGGAAUAUUGGACAAUGGGCGCAAGCCUGGUCCAGCCAUACCGCGUGGGUGAAGAAGGCCUUCGGGUUGUAAAGCCCUUUUGUUGGGAAAGAAAAGCAGCAGGUUAAUACCCCGCUGUUCUGACGGUACCCAAAGAAUAAGCACCGGCUAACUUCGUG